AUUGAACGCUGGCGGCAGGCCUAACACAUGCAAGUCGACCGCGUGGCGGACGGGUGAGUAAUGUCUGGGAAACUGCCUUAUGGAGGGGGAUAACUACUGGAAACGGUAUCUAAUACCGCAUCCCCUCGUAUGUUCCCCGAUGGGAUUAGCUAGUAGGUGGGGUAACGGCUCACCUAGGCGACGAUCCCUAGCUGGUCUGCGAGGAUGACCAGCCACACUGGAACUGAGACCCGGUCCAGACUCCUACGGGAGGCAGCAGUGGGGAAUAUUGCACAAUGGGCGCAAGCCUGAUGCAGCCAUGCCGCGUGUAUGAAGAAGGCCUUCGGGUUGUAAAGUACUUUCAGCGGGGAGGCGUUACCCGCAGAAGAAGCACCGGCUAACUCCGUGCCAGCAGCCGCGGUAAUAC
rnacentral:rRNA from 1 species